ensembl:lncRNA
AUAUAGUCAAUUAUCCAAUUUCACAAUUGCCACAAAAAUAUUAAGCAGCGUAACUGUUUUCAACACUGUUAUUAAUCAGAAAUGUUUCUUAAGCAGCAAAUCAGCAUAUUAGAAUGAUUUCUGAAGAUCAUGUGACACUGAAGACUGGAGCAAUGAUGCUGAAAAUUCAGCUUUGCAUCGCAGGUAUAAAUUACAUUUUAAAAUAUAUUCACAUAGAAAACAGUUAUUUUAAAUUGUAAUAAUAUUCAUAACAUUUUUGAUCAAAUAAAUCCAGCCUCGGUGAGUCUUUUUUAUUACGGUAAAGAUUUUAUUGAGGGAGAUGUUUGAAAAUCAUAAUAAUAGGCUUAAUUUUCUGAGGUUGGACUGAAGUAUGACACAUUCUUGGAAUUUCUUGAGAUUCACCCAAAAGCGUUCUAUUAUCGUCUGCUAAACUUCCCAGCAUGCCUGCUGUGUUUCAGGAAGUUGCAUCAGACGUCAUUGUAUUAAAUUUAAAUCACCCGUUUCAGGUUGGAUUGCUGCCGUGUGAGAUUUUAUCUCCAGCGUUUUCAGUUGCAACUACAUAUGAAUCUGAACUUUUGUGCUGUUGGAGUGUUUGAUAGGCCAGUUUUUCUUCUGAAUCAGGUUUCUGCUUCCCUAAAGCAGGCCGGUUUGGUCGUUUGAUGUUUUUUGAAUGCUGCUGACUUCACCUUUUGUUGGUUUGUUGUUUUUGUUUAUUUGAAACCAGAGUUGAACUGCACCAUUUUAAAAACUCAAGCUGUAUGUGUGUUUGGCAUCUUAUUCCCACAGCUGGCAUAUAAUCAUCCACAUUUCAACUCUGUUUUCUGCAUAGCUCGAGGCUGAGACAGCUAAUUAUCUGAGCUUGAGGUGAACUGCUAGAUGUAACGUCCCUAAAAAUUCAACGAUUCUAACGGUUAACAGUCACUGUACAUAUUGGGACACACAUCUGGUAAAAGUUUUCAAAAAAAAGUUAACAUUUUAUGUGCUGUAGUUGAAUGGAAAAGAACAGCAUGAAUAUUUCUUGAAAUAUCUUUCGUUGUUUGUUUUUUUUUAAGAAAGUCAUACGGGUUUAUAUGAAAGCUUAUUUCCGCCACAAAAUAAAAAACAAAAAUAAAAAAGGUUGAGGUUUUUAAUUUUACAAUUCUGACUUUUUUUUCAUACAGAAAGUAUAUAUAUAUAUAUCUCACAAUUGGGACUUUUCUCUAUAUUUUGGGAGAUAAAAUCACAGUCAAGUUGUUUAUAUUUCUUUCUGUGCCGGAAAAAAAUCUUGCAUAGGUUUGGACUGAGAUGAGGUAAAUGAUGGCCGGAUUUUAAUUUUUGGGUGAAUUAUUGCUUUAACUUCUUAGUUUUUCUUCUUGUUGUCCAUCAACACAAGUUUUACUCCAUGUCGAGUUUGUUUAAUGUUUGUUUGCUUGAAUGAUUCACAUCUGACCGAACGCCUCCUGGCUUCUGCUUCAUAUAUUUAUCAAACACCAUGAAUAUUUUUCAGUGGCGUUACCACUGAUGGGCUUCAUCAGAUGCCAGACUGACCAUGCCAUGAAAAGGCAUUUGGUUUUGGCCUUAAUUAUUAACUGUAGACUUAUGGAAUAAGAUGUACAUAUAUAGACUUAAACAUAAUUCAAGUUAAAAGAAAAAAUGUAUACUUGAAAUGUUUUAAAGCCUUUAAAUAGCCAGUAAUACCAUUUAAGUGUGUUAUAUAUCUGCUUUAUUUUGCUUCAUUCUCAAAUAGCAAAUUGCCAAUCCAGAAUUUCCUUUUGAUCCCUGAAAGAGGUUUUUGACCGAUUAUCUUAAUGUUUUUGCUGGAUGAAAGCCAUUUAUUGUGGUUUGGCUUGAGUGCAAUGGAGGUAUCUAUCAUAAUCUGACAUUCACACUGCACUUUCAGUGUUUCAAAGAAGUUUGACUUAAAGAAAUGGUAGAUAUGAAUCAUAAUUUUCCAGAAUGACAUUAAAUGUGCACACACCGCAUUCCAUUCAUAAAUAUGGGACUGUACAGGGUGAUAUUGUCCACCCUCUCACCGUUAAAUUCUGAAAUAGUCUGUCAUCUUUAUGAAGAUGUUGCCUUAUUUAAUUUAUAGAGUGUACGGUCACCAUUUAAUCGACUGUAGUGUGUUGUCAUUUCUCUUUUGUACUGCUGGCAUUGAUGUUUGAGAGGUUACACUGUCUUAGAGUUGUUUUUCUUUUCUUUUUCUUCUUUUUUUAAUGAGACGAUGUUCCCUGAAAUAUUAGUUGACGGGGAAAUGCUCUGCCCGGUGUGUAGUACAACAGUCGACCUAGAGAACUGUCAAUGAACAUGAAAUAAAGGAUAUAUAUUAUAAAAAGGACAUUUUCACUUGCUUUAUUUUCAGAAUAUUCACUUUGUUACUGCUGAAAUAUAUUUGGUGUAAUUGAUGAAAUAUAGAAAAAGUGCACUCAUAAAAAAAGAACAAAAAAGUAUGUAACUAUCAAUGGGUGGUACAGUACAAUUUCAAAAGGUAAUAAAACAGUACAUUGUUAUUUUUUUUGUAUAUGGUUUUGCUCUUAUUAAUGUUGAAAUUAGAUCCAAAUGCGUGAGA